rnacentral:rRNA from 1 species
UACGGUGGGAGCAAGCGUUGUUCGGAUUUACUGGGCGUAAAGGGCGCGUAGGCGGCCAGACAGGUCCGUUGUGAAAACUCGAGGCUCAACCUCGAGAUGUCGAUGGAAACCGUCUGGCUAGAGUCCGGAAGAGGAGUGUGGAAUUCCUGGUGUAGCGGUGAAAUGCGCAGAUAUCAGGAAGAACACCUAUGGCGAAGGCAGCACUCUGGGACGGUACUGACGCUGAGACGCGAAAGCGUGGGGAGCGAACAGG